rnacentral:rRNA from 1 species
GAUGGAAUUUCUGGUGUAGGGGUAAAAUCCGUAGAGAUCAGAAGGAAUACCGAUUGCGAAGGCGAUCUACUGGAACAUUACUGACGCUAAGAUGCGAAAGCGUGGGGAGCAAACAGGAUUAGAUACCCUGGUAGUCCACGCCCUAAACGAUGUACACUAGUUGUUGCUAUGCUAGACAUAGCAGUAAUGCAGUUAACACAUUAAGUGUACCGCCUGGGGAGUACGGUCGCAAGAUUAAAACUCAAAGGAAUAGACGGGGACCCGCACAAGCGGUGGAGCAUGUGGUUUAAUUCGACGAUACGCGAAGAACCUUACCUGGCCUUGACAUAGAUAGAAUAUAGCAGAGAUGUAAUAGUGCCAGUUUACUGGAGCUAUCAUACAGGUGCUGCACGGCUGUCGUCAGCUCGUGUCGUGAGAUGUUGGGUUAAGUCCCGCAACGAGCGCAACCCACGUGUCUAGUUACUAACAGUUCGGCUGAGGACUCUAGACAGACUGCCUUCGUAAGGAGGAGGAAGGUGUGGACGACGUCAAGUCAUCAUGGCCCUUACGGCCAGGGCUACACACGUGCUACAAUGGGGUAUACAGAGAGCCGCAAUACCGCGAGGUGGAGCAAAUCUUUAAAAUAUCUCCCAGUUCGGAUAGCACUCUGCAACUCGAGUGCUUGAAGUUGGAAUCGCUAGUAAU